CACGUAGGGUGCGAGCGUUGUCCGGAAUUAUUGGGCGUAAAGCGUGCGCAGGCGGUUGUGCAAGACAGAUGUGAAAUCCCCGGGCUUAACCUGGGAAUUGCAUUUGUGACUGCACGGCUAGAGUGUGUCAGAGGGGGGUAGAAUUCCACGUGUAGCAGUGAAAUGCGUAGAGAUGUGGAGGAACACCGAUGGCGAAGGCAGCCUCCUGGGCCAACACUGACGCUCAUGCACGAAAGCGUGGGGAGCAAACAGG
rnacentral:rRNA from 1 species